rnacentral:rRNA from 1 species
UUAAGUUAGAAAGGGCGCACGGUGGAUGCCUUGGCACUAGGAGCCGAUGAAGGACGGGACGAACACCGAUAUGCUUCGGGGAGCUGUAAGCAAGCUUUGAUCCGGAGAUUUCCGAAUGGGGAAACCCACCACUCGUAAUGGAGUGGUAUCCAUAUCUGAAUACAUAGGAUAUGAGAAGGCAGACCCGGGGAACUGAAACAUCUAAGUACCCGGAGGAAGAGAAAGCAAAUGCGAUUCCCUGAGUAGCGGCGAGCGAAACGGGACCAGCCCAAACCAAGAGGCUUGCCUCUUGGGGUUGUAGGACACUCUGUACGGAGUUACAAAGGAACGAGGUAGAUGAAGAGGUCUGGAAAGGCCCGCCAUAGGAGGUAACAGCCCUGUAGUCAAAACUUCGUUCUCUCCUGAGUGGAUCCUGAGUACGGCGGAACACGUGAAAUUCCGUCGGAAUCCGGGAGGACCAUCUCCCAAGGCUAAAUACUCCCUAGUGACCGAUAGUGAACCAGUACCGUGAGGGAAAGGUGAAAAGCACCCCGGAAGGGGAGUGAAAGAGAUCCUGAAACCGUGUGCCUACAAGUAGUCAGAGCCCGUUAACGGGUGAUGGCGUGCCUUUUGUAGAAUGAACCGGCGAGUUACGAUCCCGUGCAAGGUUAAGCAGAAGAUGCGGAGCCGCAGCGAAAGCGAGUCUGAAUAGGGCGAAUUGAGUACGUGGUCGUAGACCCGAAACCAGGUGAUCUACCCAUGUCCAGGGUGAAGUUCAGGUAACACUGAAUGGAGGCCCGAACCCACGCACGUUGAAAAGUGCGGGGAUGAGGUGUGGGUAGGGGUGAAAUGCCAAUCGAACCUGGAGAUAGCUGGUUCUCUCCGAAAUAGCUUUAGGGCUAGCCUCAAGGUAAGAGUCUCGGAGGUAGAGCACUGAUUGGACUAGGGGCCCCUACCGGGUUACCGAAUUCAGUCAAACUCCGAAUGCCGAUGACUUAUCCUUGGGAGUCAGACUGCGAGUGAUAAGAUCCGUAGUCGAAAGGGAAACAGCCCAGACCGCCAGCUAAGGUCCCAAAGUAUACGUUAAGUGGAAAAGGAUGUGGAGUUGCUUAGACAACCAGGAUGUUGGCUUAGAAGCAGCCACCAUUUAAAGAGUGCGUAAUAGCUCACUGGUCGAGUGACUCUGCGCCGAAAAUGUACCGGGGCUAAACGUAUCACCGAAGCUGCGGACUGUUCUUCGAACAGUGGUAGGAGAGCGUUCUAAGGGCUGUGAAGCAAGACCGGAAGGACUUGUGGAGCGCUUAGAAGUGAGAAUGCCGGUAUGAGUAGCGAAAGAGGGGUGAGAAUCCCCUCCACCGAAUGCCUAAGGUUUCCUGAGGAAGGCUCGUCCGCUCAGGGUUAGUCGGGACCUAAGCCGAGGCCGAAAGGCGUAGGCGAUGGAUAACAGGUUGAUAUUCCUGUACCACCUCCUCACCAUUUGAGCAAUGGGGGGACGCAGGAGGAUAGGGUAAGCGCGGUAUUGGAUAUCCGCGUCCAAGCAGUUAGGCUGGGAAAUAGGCAAAUCCGUUUCCCGUGAAGGCUGAGCUGUGAUGGCGAGCGAAUUAUAGUAGCGAAGUUCCUGAUUCCACACUGCCAAGAAAAGCCUCUAGCGAGGUGAGAGGUGCCCGUACCGCAAACCGACACAGGUAGGCGAGGAGAGAAUCCUAAGGUGAUCGAGAGAACUCUCGUUAAGGAACUCGGCAAAAUGACCCCGUAACUUCGGGAGAAGGGGUGCUCUGUUAGGGUGAAAGCCCGAGAGAGCCGCAGUGAAUAGGCCCAGGCGACUGUUUAGCAAAAACACAGGUCUCUGCGAAGCCGUAAGGCGAAGUAUAGGGGCUGACGCCUGCCCGGUGCUGGAAGGUUAAGAGGAGCGCUUAGCGUAAGCGAAGGUGCGAAUUGAAGCCCCAGUAAACGGCGGCCGUAACUAUAACGGUCCUAAGGUAGCGAAAUUCCUUGUCGGGUAAGUUCCGACCCGCACGAAAGGCGCAACGAUCUGGGCACUGUCUCAACGAGAGACUCGGUGAAAUUAUAGUACCUGUGAAGAUGCAGGUUACCCGCGACAGGACGGAAAGACCCCGUGGAGCUUUACUGCAGCCUGAUAUUGAAUGUUGGUACAGCUUGUACAGGAUAGGUAGGAGCCUUGGAAACCGGAGCGCCAGCUUCGGUGGAGGCAUCGGUGGGAUACUACCCUGGCUGUAUUGACCUUCUAACCCGCCGCCCUUAUCGGGCGGGGAGACAGUGUCAGGUGGGCAGUUUGACUGGGGCGGUCGCCUCCUAAAAGGUAACGGAGGCGCCCAAAGGUUCCCUCAGAAUGGUUGGAAAUCAUUCGCAGAGUGUAAAGGCACAAGGGAGCUUGACUGCGAGACCUACAAGUCGAGCAGGGACGAAAGUCGGGCUUAGUGAUCCGGUGGUUCCGCAUGGAAGGGCCAUCGCUCAACGGAUAAAAGCUACCCCGGGGAUAACAGGCUUAUCUCCCCCAAGAGUCCACAUCGACGGGGAGGUUUGGCACCUCGAUGUCGGCUCAUCGCAUCCUGGGGCUGUAGUCGGUCCCAAGGGUUGGGCUGUUCGCCCAUUAAAGCGGUACGCGAGCUGGGUUCAGAACGUCGUGAGACAGUUCGGUCCCUAUCCGUCGCGGGCGCAGGAAAUUUGAGAGGAGCUGUCCUUAGUACGAGAGGACCGGGAUGGACGCACCGCUGGUGUACCAGUUGUUCUGCCAAGGGCAUCGCUGGGUAGCUAUGUGCGGACGGGAUAAGUGCUGAAAGCAUCUAAGCAUGAAGCCCCCCUCAAGAUGAGAUUUCCCAUUCCGCAAGGAAGUAAGAUCCCUGAAAGAUGAUCAGGUUGAUAGGUCUGAGGUGGAAGUGUGGCGACACAUGGAGCUGACAGAUACUAAUCGAUCGAGGACUUAACCAA